UCUUUAAAGCUCGCCUCGCCUCGCCUCGCCUCUCUCUCCCCGUCUCUGCCUCCUCUCGGAACCACCACCGCGCCGAGACGCCAGGCCCUUACCGCACUCUACUCCCUGCGGCGUGCAGCUGCUCUCUGCUUGUCGCGCGCUCGGCUCCCGCAAGCGCCGCUCAAUCCCGAAGCGGCUCUUCCCGUGGGACCUGCAGAUACUGUUGUUUGUCUGGCCGGCGUCGUCCGUUUCUCGGGCGCGACAAGAGAAUCGGAGGGCCCGCUUGCUCGGAGCAACGAAGGCUUCGCCACGAGCGCGGCGCCGGAGCCUCGCCUGCAUGGAGACUAAGAUGGAGUCACUUGAACUCAAAGACAAUGGUGAAAACCAACCAUCUUUAGAAGCUUCUAUUGCUUCAGAUGUGAUAUAUGACAAAGCACCUGUAUGUCCACGCAUUGGAAGUGAGCACCAGGCAGAAAUCCCCAAUCUGUCCACAGAGGUUGAGUGCCAUCGCCUCAUGACCAGCACACCAGAAAGCAUCCUACUUGGUUAUGAUCACCCUGGUAUGAUUGGAUUAGCUAUACCAAUCAUGUGGGUACCAAGUGAACUCCAUAAGGAGGACGAUUUGCGAAGGCAGCAUUCUUCAGAAACUGAAGCAAGAGCUAGCGACCAAGGCGAGGAUAUUCAGGUGACCUCAAUUUACCCAAUCAGAAAUAAUACAAGUGCCCAUGAUUCAACAUACCAGGAUCGACAUUCAGUGCUGCCUGUUGAUCAGAUAGAAUCUUGCAUCAAUCAAGCACAUGAUGAGAACUUGGAUCCACUCUCUACUCAAGAAGGUCCCAGUUUUACCAAUAAGCCGUUGACCCAGCAAGGGGAAAUCGAGCAAUUUACUCCACUGCCUGGUUUGUCCAGUUCGCUUUGGAGUGGUACUAAGGCAGAAUGUUUUCUUCUCGGGCUCUACAUUUUUGGCAAAAAUCUAAGCAUGUUGAGCAGGUUUCUUGGUAAUAAGACUGUUGGGGAUGUGCUCUCAUACUACUAUGGAAUGUUCUACAGAAGAAAUGCUUAUAAAAGAUGGUCGGACUGCAGAAAAGCAAGAACUGCAAGAUGCAUUCUUGGGGAACACAUCUUUACAAGUUGGCGACAACAAGAAAUUAUAUCUCGUUUGAAAUCUAUAAUCCUCGCAGAAGUUCAUGAUUCAUUGGUCGAGAUUCUCAAAUCUUUCAACGCCGGACAAACAUCUUUAGAGGAUCUUGUCUUUGCGAUAAAAUCCUCUGUUGGAACAGAAGCUUUUGUGGAGGCUGUUGCAAUUGGUAAAGGGAAACAUGAUUUGACUGGAUUUGUUCUGGACCGAUCUAAACCAAACCAAGCUCCUUCUGUUCAUCCUGACAUGCCUACAGGCAAAGAUUGUUCCUUGCUUGCUUCUGAAGAUAUAAUCAAGUUCUUAACAGGCGGAUUCAGAAUAAGCAAGACAAGAUCUAAUGAUCUUUUCUGGGAAGCUGUCUGGCCCCGUUUGCUUGCAAGAGGGUGGCGUUCAGAGCAGUCAAAAGAUGUGAGAACAACUAAGAAUUGCCUUGUGUUUAUUAUGCCAGGUAUCAAAAAAUUCUCAAGAAGGAAGCUUACUGAAGGCACUCAUUAUUUUGAUUCUAUCAGCGAUAUCCUUAAACAAGUUGUGGCGGAUCCUGUUCUUCUUGAGGUAGAAGUUGGCGGAGUGGACAAUGGUGUUACUGCUGAGCAGUGUGGAUAUGCUACAGACAUGAGUCUGAACCGAGAUGGUCCUUUUGAUGGAUAUCAGGAGCUUACAAAGUUCACAAUUAUAGAUACUACCUUGGUCCAAGGGGAAGAGCCCUCCAGAGUCAGAGAGCUGAGGAAAUUACCACCUGAUGUAAAUGUCCGUUUUGGUCCUUCACGUCAUUCUUGUAAUACUGUGAGUGGCAGUUCGUCAGAGGAGCAAGAUGCGGAAGAUCAAUCAUCAGACGACCAGGCAGAUUGUCGACGAGUCACAGCUGAUAUGAAUGACGCUGAAAUGAUUUCAGUAUGCCAUGCAGGCAAAGAAAACCAAGUCAAUUCAUUGCAAAACAUGUUGGCUGCACCAUCCUCGAGUUUUCCAGUCAAUGGCCAUUCUUCUAAUGACAGUAUUAACAAAAUUGAUUUGACAUGCGUCUUUGGUCCGAAAACAAAAACUGAGAGGCGCGAGUAUUUAACCCCAGUGUCAAAUCACAGAAGCUUAUCCAGCUGUAGCAAUGAUCAGACCAGUCAGCGCAGCUUUUCUUUCUCCAAAGGACAUGGUUUAGAGAGAAAGAAAAUCAAGCCGCUGUGGACUUCACCGAAACCAACUGCAGUUGAUGUCAGUGACAAUUUUCAGACUAAAAUAAUUGCCAGGUAUUCCACGAAGGAGAAGCCAUGCGAGCAGAUAACGGUUGCAUCAAACUCUUUUACCAAUGACAGAUCAAAUGAGAAGAUCAAUGUGUCCAGCUUAAAUGUGGAUAAGUCAUCUGAGUGCCAGGUUAAGGUGGUGCCUAAAGUUCGUUCAACGAUCAGAAACGCUAAGUCAAAAGUUGCCAAAGAAGGGGCGCAGAUUACUAGUUUGGUUAAACCGAAGACAAGCACAAGGGUAUGUGUCGCUUCAUCAGACGAUGAUGGUUACAUCAAGGCUGAGGAAGGCCUUGCCGUUUCAAACAUUGAUUGUGUCCAUGAUGUUUCAGAGGCAACAGGACAACCUGCUGGCCUGCAACCUGAUCUGGCUUUACAGGUGAAUUCUCUGAGGUACGGAACCAGGAACAGAUCUCCGACAGCAAAAGCUUUGGAAGCACUUGCCUCGGGGUUCCUUGUCCUUGGAGGAAAGCGUAAGGGUGAACCCAAAAACCCUGGGACAAGCAGGCCUCCCCAGAGAGCUCGGAAAUCCUCGGUUUCUACGCCUACAAGCAGUGACACAGACAAGUCCAGUAUGGAGGUUGAUUUGCAACGGUGAACAGAUUGUUAUGUGUUUGUUGGUGCAAAAAAGGGCACCGUAUGGACAUUGUGGAUGAUCAAUAUCAAGUGGAACAUGAUAUCUUCAACUUAGACUUGAUGAGUUGUCUCCAUCAAUCUUCCCUUAUGAGGGGGCUUCAAGGUGGUUUGAUUUGUUAACCAAUUAAUAAGAACUUCUGCGUAAGAUUGGGUCAGCAGCAUUCUCUUAUCAGGCAAUGUCUUUGGAUACGUACCUCUCUGAAGCUUGGACAUACCUUGGAAAUGUACUACUAUUAAUGCAAUAGUUGAUUGUCUGGUUGGCUCUUUUAGUAGCAUGGAUAUAACUAAUAGUUUGGCUUUUAAAUUUAGAAAAUGACCUUUAGUUCACUAAGGCAAAACAUUGUUUAGGAAAAAAUGCAGAGCGGAGUUUAUGGAUAUGCAUUGUCCCCUGAACGAGGAGACAACUAUUCAAGGUGCUGCAGAAAUUUUUGGUGGACCGAUCGAUAUCUCAGAAAGUAUUAUUGACCUCUACAUUCCCUUUGGCAUGCAGGUUGAACAAGUAAAUACCCACCAACUCUCAAUUAUCUUCCGUUUCUAAUCUUUGUCCUAAGUCUUCAGGACAUAGGAGAACUUGAUUAUCUGAUUAGGUACCUUGACUAGAUUAUUUUUGUCUACUAUAGUGAGAUGUUGAUGAUGCCAAUGUAAGUUUCUUAAGUGAGAAGGAGAAAAAUAACUUCUCAUGGAAGUACUCUCACUUUUCUGACAUGCUCAGAUGUUGCCAAUUUAGGUUUAUUAAGUGAAGUCAAGUUUGCUUAGUGGUAUGCAUAUUAACCUUUGUCAGUGAAGAGCAGUCCCAAAAAACAUAAGAGUGAAGAUCAGAUUUAGUUAGUGACAAACAACGUGAAAUCAUACAUGGCAAAUUAACAAACGUGUCCCAGUCCUACUGUUCCUUAUUUGUUACACUGUUUUUUCGACAAUCAAAGCUCAUAUUUUACAUUAAAACUGGUUAAAUAUUCCUAUCAGUUCUGCAUAGAUGCCCUUCUCUUCUGAUAAAUAGGCCAUCCACUUUAAAAGUAAGAUUUCCUUGCUAGCUCCAGUUCAGUUCGUAUCUCCAGUUCUGUAUAUACAUGAAUGUUUCUCCCUUCUGUUUACAUGAGAGCAAAAUAAGACAUGUCGGGUUAAAUCAUUGAAAUAUUGUACAUGUUAACAAAAGAGAAAUUCCAGAUGUGUACUCCUGACCCUUUGUAUGAUUGUUCAACGGUGAGGCUGCACCUCUUCUGUUAUCUUAGGUGAGAUGUACUUGAUGAUGUGACAACUCUUAGUUUUUCGACAACUCUUAGUUUUUCGAAUAUAGCGUUUGUUGUUGUUUCAUAUUACUGGUUGUUUCUUUUGGUAAUUCUUUGAAUUUUUUUCCUAUAUUGGUUCUCCCUUAAUAUAGCAAGCUUCCCUUGAGUAUCUUUGAGGAUUUUUUUAACACCACAAGUGUUAUUUGGUUUAUUAUACUUUGUGCUCAUGUCCUAGCAAUCAAGGGAUUCAAUAGUUCGAUUCUACAUGUCGCUCCUCACCACAUCAGGCCGUCGUAGACACCAUCGGCUUAAAUCUUGUGGAUGGCGACGUAAUUCUUCCUAACACUUAUUCAUCUUUGGUCAAAUGCUGCCGCCACCCAGCUCUUUAGGCAAUAGCCAUAGUAAUGUUUAUUUAGAUCCAUUCGCUGUGUUUCUGCCAUUUCAAAACUAUUACCUCCAGAUGUGUGUGUGUGUGUGUGAAAAGAAACCAGAUAAGUUUGCAUAUGCUGUUAAUAUCCAACUUUUUACCAUCGAUGAGUCAAUGGUACUGGUUCUUGCUAUUAGUUGGUGAGACCUUUGGAAUUUCUUAUGUAGCAUACGUCUCCUACCUAACAGAUGGGAAUAUAAAACCAUAAAUAACAUCUGCAAAUGAACCAACACCUAGGCUAUAGAAGAACAUCAGAAUCAAAACCUUCUGAUAAAAGUACCGGGGGUGCGUGGGUCGGGAGGUCAAAUGUCAUGGCAGUAGAGGCGGCGACAUAUGUCAAUGAAGAGGAAAGGUACGGGGGUGCGUGGGUCGGGAGGUCAAGGAGGAGGAGGAGAGGUAUGUGCUCGGCGGCAACCAGAUCACCGAGGUACCGAGCACAACCGGAUGCAGAACAAUCUCGCGCUCUUUUUGGUGUGAUAUACAUAACCUGCAAUCUCUCGGUUGAUGAUCAUUGUCAUGCUACUGAUAAGGAAACUAAGUGGAAAACAUUAAGGCUUGCGUUCAAGUGCAAAUGGCUACGAGCAUCUCAUCCAGAAAAGGAAAAUGCCAUGUACCCAGCAAUGGCGUCAGUCGACCGCCUUUCUCUUGGCAAUCAGAAUCCUCUUCAGAAUGUUGUGAACCAAAACCAGCAAAUGCAUACUUCGGUUAGAACUGCAAGGCCAGGAAGAGGUUCAAACAACUCUCAGAAAGCACAAAUUACUCACCCAGUAGAACCAACUGUAAGUGCACCAAAAGUUUACACUGCGACAAUGGCUAAAAGAGGCAAUGCUCACACAACUCAAAUUACUUACCCGACCAAUACCAGCAACUACCUGCCGGAGCCAGAGCCGGACCAGUAUGAAGAUUAUGGGAAGGACACACCAACAGAAUAUGGAUCAGAGGGGUCCACAGUGUAUGUGGGAAACCUACCCUACCACAUUGACGACGAGUCCCUCACACUGAGCUUUGACCAUGCUGGAGUCGUGGUGUUCUCGGAGGUCAUUUACGAUGACAAAACGGGCCAGAGCCGUGGAUUUGGGUAUGUUACCAUGAUUACUGUUGAGGAGGCUGAGAAGGCUGUUAGAACGUACCAUGUAUAUGUGAGUACUUUCUGUAGCUUCAUGGGGGCUUGUAUAUACUUUAAUACGAGCCAAGUUAAUUGGUCCCUUCAUUCUGUCAAGUGUUAACCCUGUUCAAUAGCUUAUUCAUUCAUGGGUGGUAUGAAGUACGUGCACCUGAAUGUUCUUUAAUCUGUUUCAUUUUUGGUAGCUUUUGGAAAUGUUUGUUUUAUAUGCUAAAGGCAGGCUGUGGAAACCUUAUGCUUUAGGCUUCGCUGAUUAACUUUUCAUGUGGACAUUAAAGGUGAUAUAUGGCAGUGUCAGACCUCUGACGGUAUAUAUCACAACUCCCCGUCAAUCUGGGUGUCCAUUCGAAAUCUUGGUGUGCAAUCUGCCGUGGCAAGUGGACGACUCGUGGUUGGAGAAGCUGUUCAGCACGCACGACAAAGUAGUUGAUGCUAGAGUAGUUUACUAUGAGUGCAGAGGAGGGGCCAGGCAUUCAAGGGGAUUUUGUUUGUCACAAUGACGACAGAGGAGCAAUCCUACUGCGCGAUAAAUUCUCUCAACAAGCAGAUUCUGGAGGGACGUACCCUUCGAGUGAAGGUUUUAGGGGAGAAGCCACAACAAGGCUACUGAAGAUAUAUGUAGCACGCCUGAUACUGCUCAAGGCCUCCUCUGAAAUGCAUGAAUUGAAAACCAGAGUUUAGGGAAAAUGCAGGAACUAUAGUGCCAUGCCUUGUGCAAUGAUACAGGAAAGUGAAGUACGUACAUGAAUUUUCAAUAUUGUUCAUCUAGGAAGUUCUAUAAGAACUCCGCAGGUGUUAGGACAGAGAAGUUCCCAAGAGACCAGAGAAAACUUCCAUGAGAUCGAGACCUCAUGUUUCUUCUCUGAAACUCAUUUUAAUUAGACCAUUUCAUUUCAUAGGAAAAUGUCAUAUCAAUACUGAAGUGUGAUUUCUUCAUUUGAAA